rnacentral:rRNA from 1 species
UACGAAGGGGGCUAGCGUUGCUCGGAAUCACUGGGCGUAAAGGGUGCGUAGGCGGGUCUUUAAGUCAGGGGUGAAAUCCUGGAGCUCAACUCCAGAACUGCCUUUGAUACUGAGGAUCUUGAGUACGGGAGAGGUGAGUGGAACUGCGAGUGUAGAGGUGAAAUUCGUAGAUAUUCGCAAGAACACCGGUGGCGAAGGCGGCUCGCUGGGCCAGUUCUGACACUCAUCCGCGAAAGCGUGGGGAGCAAACAGG